GAGAGGUACAUUAAAGAGCUGCUAACUCUUUUUUAGUUGAAUACUGCCUGAGA
rnacentral:tRNA from 1 species